GGGUAUCCCUGCGCUGCUGACCAUGCAGUCGACAAGUCUUCGGACUUAGUGGCGGACGGGUGAGUAACGCGUAAGAAUCUACCUAUAGGUUCGGGACAACAGUUAGAAAUGACUGCUAAUACCGGAUGUGCCUUCGGGUGAAAGUUUAAAUGCCUGUAGAUGAGCUUGCGUUCGAUUAGCUAGAUGGAGUGGUAAUGGCACACCAUGGCGACGAUCGAUAACUGGUCUGAGAGGAUGACCAGUCACACUGGGACUGAGACACGGCCCAGACUACUACGGGAGGCAGCAGUGGGGAAUUUUCCGCAAUGGGCGAAAGCCUGACGGAGCAAUACCGCGUGAGGGACGAAGGUCUGUGGAUUGUAAACCUCUUUUGUUGGGGAAGAUAAUGACGGUACCCAACGAAUAAGCAUCGGCUAUCUCCGUGCCAGCAGCCGCGGUAAGACGGAGGAUGCAAGCGUUAUCCGGAAUUAUUGGGCGUAAAGCGUACGUAGGCUGUUUUGUAAGUCUGUUGUCAAAGCGCGAGGCUCAACCUUGUAAAGGCAAUGGAAACUGCGAGACUAGAGAGAGAUAGGGGCAGGAGGAAUUCCAGGUGUAGCGGUUGAAAUGCGUAGAUAUCUGGAAGAACACCAGUGGCGAAAGCGUCCUGCUGGAUCUCAACUGACGCUGAAGUACGAAAGCUAGGGGAGCGAAUGGGAUUAGAUACUCCAGUAGUCCUAGCCGUAAACGAUGGACCACUAGUGUUGGUGUAUCGACUCGGUUCAGUGCCGUAGCUAACGCGUUAAGUGUCCCGCCUGGGGGAGUACGGUCGCAAGAAUUGAAAA
rnacentral:rRNA from 1 species